rnacentral:rRNA from 1 species
GAUGAACGCUGGCGGCGUGCUUAACACAUGCAAGUCGAACGGUGAAGCAGGAGCUUGCUCCUGUGGAUCAGUGGCGAACGGGUGAGUAACACGUGAGCAAUCUGCCCUGGACUCUGGGAUAAGCGUUGGAAACGACGUCUAAUACCGGAUACGAGGCGUGGGGGCAUCCCCAACGCCUGGAAAGAAUUUCGGUCCAGGAUGAGCUCGCGGCCUAUCAGGUAGUUGGUGAGGUAACGGCUCACCAAGCCUACGACGGGUAGCCGGCCUGAGAGGGUGACCGGCCACACUGGGACUGAGACACGGCCCAGACUCCUACGGGAGGCAGCAGUGGGGAAUAUUGCACAAUGGGCGCAAGCCUGAUGCAGCAACGCCGCGUGAGGGACGACGGCCUUCGGGUUGUAAACCUCUUUUAGCAGGGAAGAAGCGAAAGUGACGGUACCUGCAGAAAAAGCACCGGCUAACUACGUGCCAGCCGCCGCUGUAACAC